rnacentral:rRNA from 1 species
UACGGGGGGAGCAAGCGUUGUUCGGAUUUACUGGGCGUAAAGGGCGCGUAGGCGGCACCGCAAGUCGACUGUGAAAUCUCCGGGCUUAACUCGGAAAGGUCAGCCGAUACUGCGGGGCUAGAGUGCAGAAGGGGCAACUGGAAUUCUCGGUGUAGCGGUGAAAUGCGUAGAUAUCGAGAGGAACACCUGCGGCGAAGGCGGGUUGCUGGGCUGACACUGACGCUGAUGCGCGAAAGCUAGGGGAGCGAAUGGG